rnacentral:rRNA from 1 species
GUGUCAGCCGCCGCGGUAAUACGGAGGGUGCAAGCGUUAAUCGGAAUUACUGGGCGUAAAGGGCGCGUAGGUGGUAUCUUAAGUUGGGUGUGAAAUCCCCGGGCUCAACCUGGGAAUUGCAUCCAAAACUGGGGUGCUAGAAUAUAAUAGAGGGUAGCGGAAUUUCUGGUGUAGCGGUGAAAUACGUAGAUAUCAGAAGGAACAUCAAUAACGAAGACAGCUACCUGGGCCAACACUGACGCUGAGGCGCGAAAGCGUGGGGAGCAAACAGGAUUAGAUACCCUGGUAGUCCACGCUAUAAACGAUGACAACUUGUUGAUGGGGACACUGGUCUUCGUUGACGGAGCUAACGCGUUAAGUUGUCCGCCUGGGGAGUACGGUCGCAAGGCUGAA